AUUUUCCUCCCUAAAAACAGAGUGGGAGAGUUUACUCAGGUGAAAUUCAGAGCAGCGCUCUUUUGCUUCAGCGUGCAAUGCUUGGUUCUAUCAGGGAGCGGAGCCUCCUACUGUGACUUGGAUAGAUACAUUCAAGUGCUGGCCGAGGCAGAGACUACGCAGACUGAAGCUGACUCUCAGGCAUCCUGCUUCAGCCAUGCAGGGUAUGCUUAGACCCAUAAAGGUUUACAUGAACAAGCACUGGGGCCCACACAUUAAGGAGAGACCCACCGAAGGGCUGUCAUUUCUUCAUACAAGACAGAGGCAGAGAGAGAUUGGACACAGAAGGGAGUGAAAGUGGCCACUGAGGCAAGAUUCCAUGCCGCUGGCUUUGAAGAAAUGCAAGGAAUGCAGCUCCAGAAGGUGGAAAAGCCGAGGAACUGGAUUCUCCCCUAAAGCCCCGGAGGGAGCACGGCCCUGGCUCAGGGAAAAUCGUCUCCAACUUCUGAUCUCUGGCAACAUAAGCAAAUAUGUGUUGUUUUAAGCCGGUAAGCUUUGCUAACUUGUUACGGCAGCCAUAGGAAAGGAAUACACCAAGUAGCUCUCACUCAUAAGAUUGUUUUGGGAUUUGAUGAGGUAGUGUAGGUAAAGCCCUUAGCACAGAGGGUGAAUUUACUAAAUGCUCAGUAAAUGUGAGCCACAUUAUGAAGACCCAGUGGCCCGGCCUCUUGGCCGUUUGACAUCCUCCAUCCCCAGACACAUAGCCCUACAUCCCAGUGUACAAAGCACCACCAACCUGAAUUGCCACAUCUGAAAAAUUAUCGCCUGUUUCUCGGAAGAUGUCUCCUAGUCGGAAAAUGGGACACUGUGGAUUCUGAGUCUUGUGGAAGGUACAAGUGAUGUUUAAACCAGGCAAGAUGUUUCUCCUGUGCAUAAUUAAAAGCAAACAAACAAACA